AUGAACGCUGGCGGCGUGCCUAAUACAUGCAAGUCGAGCGAACAGAUAAGGAGCUUGCUCCUUUGACGUUAGCGGCGGACGGGUGAGUAACACGUGGAUAACCUACCCAUAAGACUGGGAUAACUUCGGGAAACCGGAGCUAAUACCGGAUAACAUAUUGAACCGCAUGGUUCAAUAGUGAAAGGCGGCUUUGCUGUCACUUAUAGAUGGAUCCGCGCCGUAUUAGCUAGUUGGUAAGGUAACGGCUUACCAAGGCAACGAUACGUAGCCGACCUGAGAGGGUGAUCGGCCACACUGGAACUGAGACACGGUCCAGACUCCUACGGGAGGCAGCAGUAGGGAAUCUUCCGCAAUGGGCGAAAGCCUGACGGAGCAACGCCGCGUGAGUGAUGAAGGUCUUCGGAUCGUAAAACUCUGUUAUCAGGGAAGAACAAAUGUGUAAGUAACUGUGCACAUCUUGACGGUACCUGAUCAGAAAGCCACGGCUAACUACGUG
rnacentral:rRNA from 1 species